rnacentral:lncRNA from 1 species
GGUCUACUGUGAUUGGCAUUUAAUUAAACAUGCCCUAAACUGUUUACAGAUAUAUAAAGGGAAAUACAUGUACAAGUGUUAUAUACGCCAAUGAUAAGCAACCGAACGACUUCUGUAUGCUCGCUCACACACCCACAUAGAUAAAUAACCACAUACGGAUAAAACGAGAUGUGAGAAGUACAGCAAUGAGAGUGCACACCAACGACAAAAAAUAAGUAUUAGUUACCCUAUGAAAAACUGUUGGUUAGUAUGUAGAUACACUAUGGGUGGGACUAAAUGCACGAGAAAGCUCUGCUUUCGAGUGUGUUUUAGUCCUACCCA